rnacentral:rRNA from 1 species
GGAGUUAGCCGGUGCUUCUUCUGUGAGUGAUGUCCUUCCUGCCGGCUAUUAACCCGCAGGCCUUCUUCCUCACUGAAAGUGCUUUACAACCCGAAGGCCUUCUUCACACACGCGGCAUGGCUGGAUCAGGGUUGCCCCCAUUGUCCAAUAUUCCCCACUGCUGCCUCCCGUAGGAGUCUGGGCCGUGUCUCAGUCCCAGUGUGGCUGAUCAUCCUCUCAGACCAGCUACGGAUCGUCGCCUUGGUGAGCCGUUACCUCACCAACCAGCUAAUCCGACAUAGGCUCAUCCGAUAGCGCGAGGCCCGAAGGUCCCCCGCUUUCCCCCGUAGGGCGUAUGCGGUAUUAGCCUGGGUUUCCCCAGGUUAUCCCCCACUACCGGGCAGAUUCCUAUGCAUUACUCACCCGUCCGCCGCUCGCCACCAGGGAGCAAGCUCCCCGUGCUGCCGCUCGACUUGCAUGUGUUAGGCCUGCCGCCAGCGUUCAAUCUGAGCCAGAGUACGACCCUAACGUACCUUGGAACGUCGGGGACGUCGGGGGCCUAAGGGGCCGAACGGACGUACGA